rnacentral:rRNA from 1 species
CAGCCGCCGCGGUAAUACGGAGGGUGCAAGCGUUAUCCGGAUUUAUUGGGUUUAAAGGGUCCGUAGGCGGAUCUGUAAGUCAGUGGUGAAAUCUCACAGCUUAACUGUGAAACUGCCAUUGAUACUGCAGGUCUUGAGUAAAUUUGAAGUGGCUGGAAUAAGUAGUGUAGCGGUGAAAUGCAUAGAUAUUACUUAGAACACCAAUUGCGAAGGCAGGUCACUAAGAUUUAACUGACGCUGAUGGACGAAAGCGUGGGGAGCGAACAGGAUUAGAGACCCCCGUAGUCCCUGUCUCUUAUAA